AUGGAGAGACUUGUUAAUGUUCAUUACAUUGACAAGGAGGCAUUCUUGAGUAACAAUGCCGACACGGGUGAGGAACCAUUUGUUUUUGAUACAAGCCCUAGCUAUGAGGAUGUUGUUGCAAAAGUGAGACAAGUUUUGAAGUGGAUGGACACCAAUGUUGAUGUUAAGUUAAUAGGAAGGUAUGAUGUUGGAGUUGGAGCCAAAUCUCGCUUGAAAAGUAUGCCUAUCACCUCAGAUUUGCAUUGGGAUGUAUACAAGGAAAAACUAUCCCAAUCGGAAGACAAGUCACUUGAAUUGUUUUCCACCAAGGUUGAAUCUCCUCGGUUUACCUUUGAUUUGAACCGGCAUGUCUCUUCCCCCAAUGGAGCAAAUGAGGUUGAGUUGUAUGCCCCCAAUGCUUCUAGCCAACCACCAACUAGCCAAGCAAAUGAAGUUGAGGUGAUUGCUAGUGACGGAGUAAUUCAAGAGGAUGAAGAUGCUUAUGAUGACAACGAAGAGCAAGAGGAAGGGUUUCAUGGUAAUGAUGUUGGUGACUUGUAUGCGUACAUAGCGCAAAAGGACAUGGAUCGUGACUUGCCUUUUAGGCGUCAAUAUGCCUAUGACUCGGAUGAUGAGGGUCCAGUUGAACAGUUGGACGAGGAUGGAUUCACAAAGGAGGAGAACCAAAUCCACUUUGAGCUGACGGGCUUACAAAAAAGAACUCACUUGUUUAAAGAUCUCAGCCUUGCCCAUAAAGCUAUUGUUGACGGUGGAAUGAGAAUGACGGUGAUUGAGCCAACACCAUGCCCGGAUCCAGGAGAACCAAGGGUGGAGAAUGAGGACGAGAAUGCUUAUUUGAAGAAAGGAGUGAAGUUUCUGAGCUUGCCUAUGCUGAAGUUUUGGUUGGCUGACUAUGCCAUUCGAAACCAUAGGCCAUUUUAUGUUGAGCACUCCGACAUGAAGUUGCAUUACACCGUGGUGUGUGAGCAAGAAGGAUGCCCAUGGAAGGUUGGUGCAAGAAAGCUUAAAUAA
rnacentral:rRNA from 1 species